GUCCGUUCGUCCGUCUGUCCCAUGUCAGGUUAAAGUUUUUGGUCAAGGUAGUUUUUGAUGAAGUUGAAGUCCAAUCAACUUGAAACUUAGUACACAUGUUCCUUAUGAUAUGAUCUUUCUAAUUUAAAUGCCAAAUUACAGUUUUGACCCCAAUUUUACGGUUCACUGAACAUAGAAAAUGAUAGUGCAAAUUUCAGGUUAAAGUUUUUGGCUUCAGGUUAAAGUUUUUGGUCAAGGUAGUUUUUGAUGAAGUUGAAGUCCAAUCAACUUGAAACUUAGUAUACAUGUGCCCUAUGAUAUGAUCUUUCUAAUUUAAAUGCCAAAUUAGAGUUUUGACCCCAAUUUACGGUUCACUGAACAUAGAAAAUGAUAGUGCAAAUUUCAGGUUAAAGUUUUUGGCUUCAGGUUAAAGUUUUUGGUCAAGGUAGUUUUUGAUGAAGUU
rnacentral:lncRNA from 1 species